rnacentral:rRNA from 1 species
UCGGUGCUUAUACUGCAAGUCGAACGGGCAAUACAAAAGUGGCAACACUUUUGUAAAGCUAGUGGCGAACGGGUGAGUAACGCGUAGGUAAUUUACCUUAGAGAUUGGAAUAACCUCCUGAAAGGGAGGCUAAUACCAAAUAUUCUAUUUAUUUUGCAUGAAAAUAAUAGGAAAGGUAGCCGCAAGGCCUCCGCUCUAAGAUAAGCCUGCGUCCUAUUAGCUAGUUGGUAAGGUAAAGGCUUACCAAGGCUAUGAUGGGUAGCCGGCUUGAGAGGGUGACCGGCCACACUGGGACUGAGAUACGGCCCAGACUCCUACGGGAGGCAGCAGUAGGGAAUAUUGCGCAAUGGGCGAAAGCCUGACGCAGCGACAUCGUGUGGAGGAUGAAGGUCUUCGGAUCGUAAACUCCUGUCAAUUGGGGACGAAGGCAGUAGGGUUAAUAGCCCGAAUGCUGACGGUACCUAAUAAGGAAGUCUCGGCUAACUCCGUGCCAGCAGCCGCGGUAAGACGGAGGAGGCAAGCGUUGUCCGGAAUCAUUGGGCGUAAAGAGCGCGUAGGCGGUUUUUCAAGUCAUGUGUGAAAACUUCAGGCUUAACCUGAAGACUGCAUAUGAAACUGGAAAGCUAGAGUACGGCAGAGGAAAGUGGAAUUCCUGGUGUAGCGGUGAAAUGCGCAGAUAUCAGGAAGAACACCAGUGGCGAAGGCGGCUUUCUAGGCCGUUACUGACGCUGAGGCGCGAAAGCUAGGGGAGCAAACAGGAUUAGAUACCCUGGUAGUCCUAGCUGUAAACGAUGGACACUAGGGU